rnacentral:rRNA from 1 species
CCUACGGGGGGCAGCAGUGAGGAAUAUUGGUCAAUGGCCGGAAGGCUGAACCAGCCAUGCCGCGUGAAGGGCAGGGCCCUAGGGGCGUUAAACUUCUUUUGGGCGGGAGAAAGAAUGGGCACGGGGGGCCAGACGAGAGUACCGUACGAAGAAGCAUCGGCUAACCCCGGGCCAGCAGCCGCGGGAAUACGGGGGAUGCAAGCGUUAUCCGGCGUUAUUGGGUUUAAAGGGGGCGGAGGCUGUGAGGUAAGUCAGCGGUGAAUUGCCCCCGCUCAACGGGGUGAAGUGCCAUUGAUACUGCCUUGCUGGACUGCGGAUGCCGUGGGCGGAAUGUGUGGUGUAGCGGU